rnacentral:rRNA from 1 species
GACGAACGCUGGCGGCGUGCUUAACACAUGCAAGUCGAACGGAAAGGCCCUGCUUUUGUGGGGUGCUCGAGUGGCGAACGGGUGAGUAACACGUGAGUAACCUGCCCUUGACUUUGGGAUAACUUCAGGAAACUGGGGCUAAUACCGGAUAGGAGCUCCUGCUGCAUGGUGGGGGUUGGAAAGUUUCGGCGGUUGGGGAUGGACUCGCGGCUUAUCAGCUUGUUGGUGGGGUAGUGGCUUACCAAGGCUUUGACGGGUAGCCGGCCUGAGAGGGUGACCGGCCACAUUGGGACUGAGAUACGGCCCAGACUCCUACGGGAGGCAGCAGUGGGGAAUAUUGCACAAUGGGCGGAAGCCUGAUGCAGCAACGCCGCGUGCGGGAUGACGGCCUUCGGGUUGUAAACCGCUUUCGCCUGUGACGAAGCGUGAGUGACGGUAAUGGGUAAAGAAGCACCGGCUAACUACGUGCCACCAGCCGCGGUGAUACGUACGGUGCGAGCGUUGUCCGGAUUUAUUGGGCGUAAAGGGCUCGUAGGUGGUUGAUCGCGUCGGAAGUGUAAUCUUGGGGCUUAACCCUGAGCGUGCUUUCGAUACGGGUUGACUUGAGGAAGGUAGGGGAGAAAUGGAAUUCCUGGUGGAGCGGUGGAAUGCGCAGAUAUCAGGAGGAACACCAGUGGCGAAGGCGGUUCUCUGGGCCUUUCCUGACGCUGAGGAGCGAAAGCGUGGGGAGCGAACAGGCUUAGAUACCCUGGUAGUCCACGCUGUAAACGGUGGGUACUAGGUGUGGGGUCCAUUCCACGGGUUCCGUGCCGUAGCUAACGCUUUAAGUACCCCGCCUGGGGAGUACGGCCGCAAGGCUAAAACUCAAAGGAAUUGACGGGGCCCCGCACAAGCGGCGGAGCAUGCGGAUUAAUUCGAUGCAACGCGUAGAACCUUACCUGGGUUUGACAUGGAUCGGGAGUGCUCAGAGAUGGGUGUGCCUCUUUUGGGGUCGGUUCACAGGUGGUGCAUGGCUGUCGUCAGCUCGUGUCGUGAGAUGUUGGGUUAAGUCCCGCAGCGAGCGCAACCCUUGUUCACUGUUGCCAGCACGUUAUGGUGGGGACUCAGUGGAGACCGCCGGGGUCAACUCGGAGGAAGGUGGGGAUGACGUCAAGUCAUCAUGCCCCUUAUGUCCAGGGCUUCACGCAUGCUACAAUGGCUGGUACAGAGAGUGGCGAGCCUGUGAGGGUGAGCGAAUCUCGGAAAGCCGGUCUCAGUUCGGAUUGGGGUCUGCAACUCGACCUCAUGAAGUCGGAGUCGCUAGUAAUCGCAGAUCAGCAACGCUGCGGUGAAUACGUUCCCGGGGCU